rnacentral:rRNA from 1 species
GUGAGGAAUAUUGGACAAUGGGCGCAAGCCUGAUCCAGCCAUGCCGCGUGCAGGAUGACGGUCCUAUGGAUUGUAAACUGCUUUUAUACAGGAAGAAACACUACUUCGUGAAGUAGCUUGACGGUACUGUAAGAAUAAGGAUCGGCUAACUCCGUGCCAGCAGCCGCGGUAAUACGGAGGAUCCAAGCGUUAUCCGGAAUCAUUGGGUUUAAAGGGUCCGUAGGCGGUUUAAUAAGUCAGUGGUGAAAGCCCAUCGCUCAACGGUGGAACGGCCAUUGAUACUGUUAAACUUGAAUUAUUAGGAAGUAACUAGAAUAUGUAGUGUAGCGGUGAAAUGCUUAGAGAUUACAUGGAAUACCAAUUGCGAAGGCAGGUUACUACUAAUUGAUUGACGCUGAUGGACGAAAGCGUGGGUAGCGAACAGGAUUAGAAACCCUUGUAGUCC